GACGAACGCUGGCGGCGUGCUUAACACAUGCCAGUCGAACGGAAAGGCCCUGCUUUUGCGGGGUGCUCGAGUGGCGAACGGGUGUGUAACACGUGAGUAACCUGCCCUUGACUUUGGGAUAACUUCAGGAAACUGGGGCUAAUACCGGCUAGGAGCUCCUGCUGCAUGGUGGGGGUUGGAAAGUUUCGGCGGUUGGGGAUGGACGCGCGGGUUAUCAGCUUGUUGGUGGGGUAGUGGCUUACCAAGGCUUUGACGGGUAGCCGGCCUGAGAGGGGGGCCAGCCACAAUGGGACUGAGGGACGGCCCAGACUGCUACGGGAGGCAACGGUGGGGAAUAUUACACAGUGGGGGGGAGUGUGAUGCAGCGACGCCGCGAUCGGGAUGACGGCCUUCGGGUUGUAAACCGCUUUCGCCUAUGACGAAGCGUGAGUGACGGUAAUGGGUAAAGAAGCACCGGCUAACUACGUG
rnacentral:rRNA from 1 species